rnacentral:misc_RNA from 1 species
AGGCUAGCAACCCAAGUGUUAUAGGCCAAAUUGAUCUUGGCAGGAUGCUGGCUCACUGAGCUAUCUCCACUCGUUGCCAACAAAUAACCGAUGCCUUUAUUUUUAUCAUAGUCAUUAAAGGCGUACCUUGGGCACACCUCAAUCUCAAAGCUCACCAGGCUUCAACUCUAGUGCCUCUAUAGGAGAAAGGCAGGCAUCAUUCUAGGCAUGGGCAUUGUUCCAGGCACAAAGCUUUAGAAAGGCGUUGCUUGUUCCAGGUGCAAUGCUCUAAAAAGGCAUGCCUUCUUUAU